rnacentral:rRNA from 1 species
UACGUAGGGUCCGAGCGUUGUCCGGAAUUAUUGGGGCGUAAAGGGCUCGUAGGCGGUUCGUCACGUCGGGAGUGAAAACUCGGAGCUUAACUCCGAGCCUGCUUCCGAUACGGGCAUCACUAGAGUUCGGCAGGGGAGACUGGAAUUCCUGGUGUAGCGGUGAAAUGCGCAGAUAUCAGGAGGAACACCGGUGGCGAAGGCGGGUCUCUGGGCCGGAUACUGACGCUGAGGAGCGAAAGCAUGGGUAGCGAACAGG